rnacentral:rRNA from 1 species
AAAUAUAAAAUUAACUACACCAUUAAAACAGAAAUCCACGGAUAAAACAAUAACACUAGCUAUAAUUUAAAUUUUCGGUUGGGGCGACCACGGAGAAAAAAUAAUCCUCCGAGAUAAUAGUUUAGAAUUACACUUCAAGAAUUAAAACAUUUAUUAUAAAUGAUCCACUAAGUGACCAACGAACCAAGUUACCCUAGGGAUAACAGCGCAAUCCUUUCUAAGAGUCCAUAUCGACGAAUGGGUUUACGACCUCGAUGUUGGAUCAGGACAUCCUAAUGGUGCAGCCGCUAUUAAA